UUGCCAACUCAAUAUUAUCGCGUUACGUUUAGAUCGACCUUUGGAAAGAAUCGGUUUGCAGAAGCAAGUGUUAAUUUGGAAAACAUCAGCGUGACGUUGACACGCUAUAAAACACUUUAUAGUUGAGGAAGCUCGAAAGUCGUGAGUAACGGUGAAUUGCAAGAGCCGGCUGAGUUUAAUUCACGUCACAGUUUUCACGACUUUAAAUAACCUACCUUGCAGCCUGAAACCUCACAACCUACCGUCUGACGUCGUGUAA
rnacentral:misc_RNA from 1 species